rnacentral:rRNA from 1 species
GACGAACGCUGGCAGCGUGCUUAACACAUGCAAGUCGAACGGAAAGGCCCUGCUUGCAGGGUACUCGAGUGGCGAACGGGUGAGUAACGCGUGGGUGAUCUGCCCUGCACUUCGGGAUAAGCCUGGGAAACUGGGUCUAAUACCGGAUAGGAGCCAUUUUUAGUGUGAUGGUUGGAAAGUUUUUUCGGUGUAGGAUGAGCUCGCGGCCUAUCAGCUUGUUGGUGGGGUAAUGGCCUACCAAGGCGGCGACGGGUAGCCGGCCUGAGAGGGUGGACGGCCACAUUGGGACUGAGAUACGGCCCAGACUCCUACGGGAGGCAGCAGUGGGGAAUAUUGCACAAUGGGCGCAAGCCUGAUGCAGCGACGCCGCGUGGGGGAUGACGGCCUUCGGGUUGUAAACUCCUUUCGCUAGGGACGAAGCUUUUUGUGACGGUACCUAGAUAAGAAGCACCGGCUAACUACGUG